GACGAACGCUGGCGGCGUGCUUAACACAUGCAAGUCGAACGGAAAGGCCCUGCUUUUGUGGGGUGCUCGAGUGGCGAACGGGUGAGUAACACGUGAGUAACCUGCCCUUGACUUUGGGAUAACUUCAGGAAACUGGGGCUAAUACCGGAUAGGAGCUCCUGCUGCAUGGUGGGGGUUGGAAAGUUUCGGCGGUUGGGGAUGGACUCGCGGCUUAUCAGCUUGUUGGUGGGGUAGUGGCUUACCAAGGCUUUGACGGGUAGCCGGCCUGAGAGGGUGACCGGCCACAUUGGGACUGAGAUACGGCCCAGACUCCUACGGGAGGCAGCAGUGGGGAAUAUUGCACAAUGGGCGGAAGCCUGAUGCAGCGACGCCGCGUGCGGGAUGACGGCCUUCGGGUUGUAAACCGCUUUCGCCUGUGACGAAGCGUGAGUGACGGUAAUGGGUAAAGAAGCACCGGCUAACUACGUGCCAGCAGCCGCGGUGAUACGUAGGGUGCGAGCGUUGUCCGGAUUUAUUGGGCGUAAAGGGCUCGUAGGUGGUUGAUCGCGUCGGAAGUGUAAUCUUGGGGCUUAACCCUGAGCGUGCUUUCGAUACGGGUUGACUUGAGGAAGGUAGGGGAGAAUGGAAUUCCUGGUGGAGCGGUGGAAUGCGCAGAUAUCAGGAGGAACACCAGUGGCGAAGGCGGUUCUCUGGGCCUUUCCUGACGCUGAGGAGCGAAAGCGUGGGGAGCGAACAGGCUUAGAUACCCUGGUAGUCCACGCUGUAAACGGUGGGUACUAGGUGUGGGGUCCAUUCCACGGGUUCCGUGCCGUAGCUAACGCUUUAAGUACCCCGCCUGGGGAGUACGGCCGCAAGGCUAAAACUCAAAGGAAUUGACGGGGCCCCGCACAAGCGGCGGAGCAUGCGGAUUAAUUCGAUGCAACGCGUAGAACCUUACCUGGGUUUGACAUGGAUCGGGAGUGCUCAGAGAUGGGUGUGCCUCUUUUGGGGUCGGUUCACAGGUGGUGCAUGCCUGUCGUCAGCUCGUGUCGUGAGAUGUUGGGUUAAGUCCCGCAACGAGCGCAACCCUUGUUCACUGUUGCCAGCACGUUAUGGUGGGGACUCAGUGGAGACCGCCGGGGUCAACUCGGAGGAAGGUGGGGAUGACGUCAAGUCAUCAUGCCCCUUAUGUCCAGGGCUUCACGCAUGCUACAAUGGCUGGUACAGAGAGUGGCGAGCCUGUGAGGGUGAGCGAAUCUCGGAAAGCCGGUCUCAGUUCGGAUUGGGGUCUGCAACUCGACCUCAUGAAGUCGGAGUCGCUAGUAAUCGCAGAUCAGCAACGCUGCGGUGAAUACGUUCCCGGGGCU
rnacentral:rRNA from 1 species